rnacentral:rRNA from 1 species
AUUGAACGCUGGCGGCAUGCUUUACACAUGCAAGUCGAACGGUAACAGCACUUCGGUGGCUGACGAGUGGCGAACGGGUGAGUAAUACAUCGGAACGUGCCUAGUAGUGGGGGAUAACUACUCGAAAGAGUAGCUAAUACCGCAUGAGAUCUAAGGAUGAAAGCAGGGGACCUUCGGGCCUUGCGCUACUAGAGCGGCUGAUGGCAGAUUAGGUAGUUGGUGGGAUAAAAGCUUACCAAGCCGACGAUCUGUAGCUGGUCUGAGAGGACGACCAGCCACACUGGGACUGAGACACGGCCCAGACUCCUACGGGAGGCAGCAGUGGGGAAUUUUGGACAAUGGGCGCAAGCCUGAUCCAGCAAUGCCGCGUGCAGGAUUAAGGCCUUCGGGUUGUAAACUGCUUUUGUACGGAACGAAAAGCCCUCUUCUAAUACAGGAGGGUCAUGACGGUACCGUAAGAAUAAGCACCGGCUAACUACGUG